rfam:Schistosoma mattheei strain Denwood, Zambia genome assembly, scaffold: SMTD_scaffold0012683
GAACUAUUGAGGAGUCCCAUAAUAGGACUAAACAACCGUCUAGUGC